CCAUUCGUUGUUUUUGACCGGUUUAGGUAAAUGACGCAUUAACAAUUUCCUUUGCUUCAUAGCGUAAUGGCGUAUGCGUUUUCUUCGCGCAGACACCGCCCUCUUCAAGAUCCCAAGUUUCCCACAAUGCUUUUCGCGAGUGAUACUAACCUGUAGCUACACAGCAUCGAGCUAACAUGACAGACAAGAAGCAGACCGUCGACCUGGGGUUGCUGGAGGAGGAUGACGAAUUUGAAGAAUUUCCAGCCGAAGACUGGACGGGUCUGGAUGAAGAUGAGGAUGCGCAUGUGUGGGAAGACAACUGGGACGAUGAUAACGUUGAGGACGAUUUCUCAAAUCAGUUAAGAGCGGAACUGGAAAAACAUGGUUACAAGAUGGAGACUUCCUAGUGGUUUUUGACAUCUUGCAACACCCGUUGGCAUGGACAUUCAAAUUCAUUAUUGGUUUAUGACUCUUCCCAAGCAGACAUUUGAGUUUACCGAUUCCUGUUUAAUUGUAAGUAAUGUUGAUUAAAGAAUUGAGCUAAAACACA